CAGGCUCGAAUGCUACCUGACAGCCCCGUUUCGGGGGCGGUCAUCACGGAUUUAGCCCGGGUAAGGUUCUUCGCGUUGCAUCGAAUUAAGCCACAUGCUCCACCGCUUGUGCGGGCCCCCGUCAAUUCCUUUGAGUUUCAUUCUUGCGAACGUACUCCCCAGGUGGUAUGCUUACUGCGUUAACUGCGUCACCGAUCCGCAAGCGGACCAACAACUAGCAUACAUCGUUUACAGCGUGGACUAC
rnacentral:misc_RNA from 1 species